rnacentral:sRNA from 1 species
AAAAAGUGAAGAAAUCAAGGAAACAAGCUAGGUGGUGAGACGUCCGGAAAAGGCAAAGGAAUUACGCCUGAGGACUAUUAGUCAGAGUUCACCCGGAAUCCGAAUUUUCGACACCUAUCACGAGGCAGCCGAUAAUUAGGACGAGGUGUCCUUGU